UCUUCAGUAGGACAAUGCUUAUCUAUUGUAAGAUAUACUAUUGGGACUAAAGAAAGAUUUUUAUCUGUUAAGAAAAAACACAUCCUUUUCUCUGCAAAAGACAGCUUUCAUUUCUUCUUCCAAAUCUAGUUUUAUAUUAUUAGUUUUGUUCUAUUUCUGGACCUUUCCCUGUCUGUUACCCACAGCGUUUUCAGGACAACAUAAUUUCUUUGCUCUUGAGGGAUAACAGCUUUGACAAGUAACCACAUUUCCAUCUGUCUCGGUUUGUAACAACAUGCUGUUCGCCAAAGCUGUGCCCCUGGAUCCUAAGGGGGUGGAGGAGCAAUCUAGGGAGCAGCCUUUUUCUUUCUCCCUUAUCUCUCUUCCCAAUUCUUUUAUGAGAUUGUAGGUUGCAGGUUGCUCAUUUCUAUUAAAAGUUCAAUUGCAAGACUCCUGUGUGAGAAACACUUACGCUUGCUUUCCUGCAUCUUCCUCUGGUACCCCAGCCUUUGUUGCUUGAGCUGCAGGAACAUCCCUUAGCCUCAAGCACCUAAUCCAAAUAGGAUUGAAGGACAGAGAUGACACCCAGACUGCGAGGCUGAGGUUCAUGAGUCCUGAUUCUUGGUGCUUCAGGGGCACGGUUGGAGAGAAUGGCAGCUCCUUUCUGGUCUGCUCUGUACCUAGGUCCUGCCACAGCAUCCAAGUGGGAAGCAGAUAGGACAUGCAUCCAGGAAGCUUGAAGCAGUAUCAGUCUCUGAUACUGCCAUUUACACAUUGCUUACACUUUUUUCUUUUCAAAGUUCAAAGUCUGUACAAAUCUAAUCCAACUCUGGAGUUGAGGACAUAAGGAUGUAUUCUGUUACACUUCCAUCAGAUCAGAAGAGCACAGGUCU